rnacentral:rRNA from 1 species
GACGAACGCUGGCGGCGUGCUUAACACAUGCAAGUCGAACGGAAAGGCCCUGCUUUUGUGGGGUGCUCGAGUGGCGAACGGGUGAGUAACACGUGAGUAACCUGCCCUUGACUUUGGGAUAACUUCAGGAAACUGGGGCUAAUACCGGAUAGGAUCUCCUGCUGCAUGGUGGGGGUUGGAAAGUUUCGGCGGUUGGGGAUGGACUCGCGGCUUAUCAGCUUGUUGGUGUGGUAGUGGCUUACCAAGGCUUUGACGGGUAGCCUGCCUGAGAGGGUUACCGGCCACAUUGGGACUGAGAUACGGACCAGACUCCUACGGGAGGCAGCAGUGGGGAAUAUUGCAGAAUGGGCGGAAGCCUGAUGCAGCAACGCCGCGUGCGGGAUGACGGCCUUCGGGUUGUAAACCGCUUUCGCAUGUGACGAAGCGUGCGUGACGGUAAUGGGUAAAGAAGCACCGGCUAACUACGUG